rnacentral:rRNA from 1 species
GACGAACGUUGGCGGCGUGCUUAACACAUGCAAGUCGAACGGAAAGGCCCUGCUUUUGUGGGGUGCUCGAGUGGCGAACGGGUGAGUAACACGUGAGUAACCUGCCCUUGACUCUGGGAUAACUUCAGGAAACUGGGGCUAAUACCGGAUAGGAGCUCCUGCUGCAUGGUGGGGGUUGGAAAGUUUCGGCGGUUGGGGAUGGACUCGCGGCUUAUCAGCUUGUUGGUGGGGUAGUGGCUUACCAAGGCUUUGACGGGUAGCCGGCCUGAGAGGGUGACCGGCCACAUUGGGACUGAGAUACGGCCCAGACUCCUACGGGAGGCAGCAGUGGGGAAUAUUGCACAAUGGGCGGAAGCCUGAUGCAGCAACGCCGCGUGCGGGAUGACGGCCUUCGGGUUGUAAACCGCUUUCGCCUGUGACGAAGCGUGAGUGACGGUAAUGGGUAAAGAAGCACCGGCUAACUACGUG